rnacentral:lncRNA from 1 species
GCGCGGCCGCCCACCCCUGGUCGCCGAGCCGCCCCCGCUGCCGCUGCCGCCGCUGCCUGCACGGCCCUCGUCCUUCAGCCUGCUGGCGCUGCCCGCGCCCCGCGACCCCUGGCCGCUGCCCGUCUUCCCCCCGCCCCUGCCGCCGCCGCCACCGCCGCCUUACUUCUUCCUGUCGCCACCCUGCUGACCGCCCGGCCCUCCCAGAGGCCGCCGACGCGGAGGGGCUGCGGGCCGAUCCUGCCUUCCAAGUCUUAAGAAGUUAAACUUUCAACUGAAAUAGAUCCAGGGGUCCUGAGGGCCUGGGUGCACCAGGAAAACAGUGGUGUUGAUGGACAAUCGAUACUGGGCCCUGGAGCAGGAGUGUCACAUGCAAGGGCUGUCAAGUCAUCCCCAGGGGACAGGAAAGCUCCCACGGUGGCUUGGGCACAGGUAACCAGCAGACGUCCUGUCUCGAUGGGCCCUUCUACAGCAGCUCAGGAAUGGUAUCAGGAAGCCAGCUUGACCUUGGGCGACCUCUGAGAGCCUGGGACCCCCCAGCAAGAAAGGCAGCGUAUGAGUUUCCUGUGACUGCUGCAGUAAAUCGCCGCAAAUU